ensembl:lncRNA
CACCACAGAGAGGUGUCAGACACAAUACACGCUAUAACCCCCACAAGAGAGAGGAGUUCACGACAAACACAGCUAUAACCCCCACCAGAGAGGAGUUCAGACAACACAAAGCUAUACCCCCCCACCAGAGAGAAGGAUUUCAGACACAACACACAGCUAUAACCCCCACCAGAGGAGAGGUGUUCAGACACAACACACACUACACCCCCCCCAGAGAGGAGAGGAGUUCAGACACAACACACAGCUAAACACCCACCAGAGGGGAGUUCAACACAACACACGCUAUAACCCCCACCAAGAGGUGUUCAGACACACACACAGCUUAUAACCCCACCAGAGGGGAGUUUCAGAACACCACGCUAUAACCCCCACCAGAGAGGUGUUCAGACACAACACACAGCUAUAACCCCCACCAGAGAGGAGAGGAGUUCAGACAACACACAGCUAUAACCCCCACCAGAUAGGUGUUCAGAAACACACAGCUAUAACCCCACCAGAGAGGAGUUCAGACACACACACACUAAACCCCCACCAGAGAGGAGUUCAGACACAACACACAGCUAUAAACCCCCACCAGAGAGGAGAGGGUUCCAGACAACACACAGCUAUAACCCCCACCAGAGAUGAGGGUGUUCAGACACAACACACAGCUAUAACCCCACCAGAGAGAGGGUGUUCAGACACAACACACAGCAUAACCCCCCAAGAGGAGAGGUGUUCAGACACAACACACAGCUAUACCCCCACCAGAGGAGAGGUGUUCAGACACAACACACAGCUAUAACCCCCACCAGAGAGGUGGUUCACACACACACAACCAGCUAUAACCCCCACCAAGAGAGGUGUUCAGACCAAACACAGCUAUAACCCCCACCAGAGAGGUGUUCAGACAACACACACUAUAACCCCACCAGAGAGAGAGGUUCAGACAACACACAGCUAAACCCCACCAGAGAGGAGUUCAGACCAAUACACAGCUAUAACCCCCACCAGAGAGGAGUUCAAGCCCAAUACACAGCUAUAACCCCCACCAGAGAGGAGUGUUGCAGACCCAAAUACCACAGCUAUAACCCCCACCAGAGAGGAGUUCAGACCCAAUACACACUAUAACCGCACUGGACCCUAAAGGGGAGGGUACCACCCAUACCGGACCCUAAAGGUCUGGACAGGGGGAGGCUACCACCCAUACUGGACCCUAAAGGGGAGGCUACCACCCAUACUGGACCCUAAAGGUCCGGACAGGGGCAAGGAGACCACACUAAAAGCACAUGAGACAACAUUGAGAGAGUGUGAUACCUUUAGAUCCAUAAAGUCCCUAUUAACCAGGUUGGUGAAGGCCAGCCGCCCCGUGGAGAGAUCUGAUAGGGAGAUGAGAAAUUCAGUUAGUUGGUUUGUUAGCUAACAUAGCACACCAGCCUGAUGGACAUCACUGAUCUAUCAACUAGUGAAGGACAGAGUUAAUCAAGACCACGUGGUACAUCAGGUUUACCUCUCAAUAAUAAAACUACCACUACUAAUAAUACCACCACCACUACUAAUAAUACUACUACUACCACUACUAAUAAUACUACCACCACCACUAUGGGGAGGCAGGGAAGCCUAGUGGUUAGAGCAUUGGGAAGGUUGCAAGUUAAAGUCCCCGAGCUGACAAGGUACAAAUCUGUUGUUCUGCCCCCUGAACAGGCAGUUAACCCACUGUUCCUAGGCAGUCAUUGAAAAU